rnacentral:sRNA from 1 species
GGGGAUUGUGUAACGGCCCCCUCCCUGGUCAGGGCUUGAGAUGGUCUAUAUGUGUUUUGGCAACCUGAGAGUGUAAAGGACUAAUUGUAUUUUGAUGUGAUUAAAGAUAAUAGGUUGGACAGCCUGGGGCUUUAAUUGUUUCGACCAUUCAGAACUUGUUAUCCUGUCAAAAUACAUUUCUCAGCUUUGCCUUGCGUAUACUCAUAAAACAUUAAAUGUUCUGUUGCUUUAAAUGAUUUUUUUCCAAUGGAGCAUAUCUGGUGACUUAAAAUCUUCUGUGUCAAGUUUCCACUACUGUUACUUAGACCUAUAUAACGGUUGGGUCGGAGUUCGAUGAUCGACAGGAUUUCCUAAGGACACUGGGAGAAAUCAGUUAAUGCAGGGAUAAUGCCAGUGUCUGACAUAAUUCCAUGUAGCAAUAAAGUUGUCAGUUUACAAGGACCUACAUAUCGGCCUAACAUUACCUCAAUGGAGUAACAUUACCUCUACUGACUUUUCACUGAUCAAUCACUGCUUGAGAUUCGCUGGACUUGGGGAUAUAAUCACCGACACAUUGCUACAAAUCCAAUAUGCAUGAACCUAAUUCAAUUUCCAUUUUUUGCCUGUCAUAAAUUGGCUGGAAGUCAGCGGACAAGGUCUCAGUGAGUUCAGAGAUGAAGCGAUAAUAGUUUUUAGUCGUGGUUAUAGUGAAGUUGCCUUCAGGACAGCUAUACAUUCUGAGGUGAUAGGACUAAUUGUAUAUAGUAAUGUAUAUACCUCUGGAGAAUGUGACAAGUUAUAUCAUUUUAUAAAACACUGGGCCUGAGAAGGGUCAGAAAUUGG